UACGGAGGGUGCAAACGUUGCUCGGAAUCAUUGGGCGUAAAGCGCACGUAGGCGGCCUGUUAAGUCGGAUGUGAAAGCCCCGGGCUCAACCCGGGAAGUGCAUACGAAACUGGCGGGCUUGAAUAUGGAAGAGGGUCGCGGAAUUCCCGGUGUAGAGGUGAAAUUCGUAGAUAUCGGGAGGAACACCAGUGGCGAAGGCGGCGACCUGGGCCAAUAUUGACGCUGAGGUGCGGAAAGCGUGGGAGCAAACAGG
rnacentral:rRNA from 1 species